AUAAUUGCGAUGAAGAGGACAUGAAUUAUUUUUACGGUUUUCAGAGAGGGAAGGAUUUGCUGUGAUCUUCCUAGCUUAGUGAAAUAAUUUACCACCUCUGAGCUAUAUCAGUGAACAUAAGUAUCUGAUAUCGUCCAUGCUGCGUUACAGCACCAAAGCCAUAGGUUAUCAUUUAUAGCUUAUGGGAAAUUGGGUGGAACCACGGGUAUAACGCACUCGUCCCUUGC
rnacentral:ncRNA from 1 species